rnacentral:rRNA from 1 species
UACGAAGGGGGCUAGCGUUGUUCGGAAUUACUUGGGCGUAAAGCGCACGUAGGCGGAUUGUAAGUCAGGGGUGAAAUCCCGGGGCUCAACCUCGGAACUGCCUUUGGAUACUGCAAGUCUCGAGUCCGAUAGAGGUGAGUGGAAUUCCUAGUGUAGAGGUGAAAUUCGUAGAUAUUAGGAAGAACACCAGUGGCGAAGGCGGCUCACUGGAUCGGUACUGACGCUGAG